AUGAGUUCAUCGUGGACAGCAAAACAGAACAAGAUCUUUGAGACGGCACUAGCGACGUAUGACGAGGACACACCAGACCGCUGGCAGAAGGUGGCACGAGCAGUCGGUGAUGGGAAGUCAGUCGAUGAAGUGAAGAGGCACUAUGAAGAGCUGCUGAAGGACCUGCAUCACAUUGAGUAUGCAGGAGGCCGUCGCGGAUCCCUCUACAACAUCUCCGGCGCUAGCAGUAGCAACAGCAACUCCUGGGGCAGUGCCAAUGAGGACCACAGGUAA
rnacentral:rRNA from 1 species